GGAAGUAAAAGUCAUAGCAAGGUUUCCGUAGGUGAACCUGCGGAAGGAUCAUUA
rnacentral:rRNA from 1 species